rfam:Aedes albopictus isolate Foshan contig87601, whole genome shotgun sequence.
UGUUCUGUGGCGGAGUUGGUUAACGCGCCCUGUCUAGCGAACUUGGGGAGACGGGGGUUCAAAUCCCACCAGAACUA